rnacentral:rRNA from 1 species
AUAAGUCGCUGUACUGAUUUGUCAAAGCCUGUUCUUGGUAGAUCUCAAAAGCUAAACGAGGCUGGACUUGGUUAGUACUUGGAUGGGAGACCGGUGGGACUUCCAGGUGCCACA